AUGCAAGUCGAGCGGUAGCACAGAGAGCUUGCUCUCGGGUGACGAGCGGCGGACGGGUGAGUAAUGUCUGGGAAACUGCCUGAUGGAGGGGGAUAACUACUGGAAACGGUAGCUAAUACCGCAUAAUGUCGCAAGACCAAAGUGGGGGACCUUCGGGCCUCAUGCCAUCAGAUGUGCCCAGAUGGGAUUAGCUAGUAGGUGGGGUAACGGCUCACCUAGGCGACGAUCCCUAGCUGGUCUGAGAGGAUGACCAGCCACACUGGAACUGAGACACGGUCCAGACUCCUACGGGAGGCAGCAGUGGGGAAUAUUGCACAAUGGGCGCAAGCCUGAUGCAGCCAUGCCGCGUGUGUGAAGAAGGCCUUCGGGUUGUAAAGCACUUUCAGCGGGGAGGAAGGCGUCAAGGUUAAUAACCUUGGCGAUUGACGUUACCCGCAGAAGAAGCACCGGCUAACUCCGUGCCAGCAGCCGCGGUAAUACGGAGGGUGCAAGCGUUAAUCGGAAUUACUGGGCGUAAAGCGCACGCAGGCGGUCUGUCAAGUCGGAUGUGACUCCCCGGGCUCAACCUGGGAACUGCAUUCGAAACUGGCAGGCUAGAGUCUUGUAGAGGGGGGUAGAAUUCCAGGUGUAGCGGUGAAAUGCGUAGAGAUCUGGAGGAAUACCGGUGGCGAAGGCGGCCCCCUGGACAAAGACUGACGCUCAGGUGCGAAAGCGUGGGGAGCAAACAGGAUUAGAUACCCUGGUAGUCCACGCCGUAAACGAUGUCGAUUUGGAGGUUGUGCCCUUGAGGCGUGGCUUCCGGAGCUAACGCGUUAAAUCGACCGCCUGGGGAGUACGGCCGCAAGGUUAAAACUCAAAUGAAUUGACGGGGGCCCGCACAAGCGGUGGAGCAUGUGGUUUAAUUCGAUGCAACGCGAAGAACCUUACCUGGUCUUGACAUCCACAGAACUUAGCAGAGAUGCUUUGGUGCCUUCGGGAACUGUGAGACAGGUGCUGCAUGGCUGUCGUCAGCUCGUGUUGUGAAAUGUUGGGUUAAGUCCCGCAACGAGCGCAACCCUUAUCCUUUGUUGCCAGCGGUCCGGCCGGGAACUCAAAGGAGACUGCCAGUGAUAAACUGGAGGAAGGUGGGGAUGACGUCAAGUCAUCAUGGCCCUUACGACCAGGGCUACACACGUGCUACAAUGGCAUAUACAAAGAGAAGCGACCUCGCGAGAGCAAGCGGACCUCAUAAAGUAUGUCGUAGUCCGGAUUGGAGUCUGCAACUCGACUCCAUGAAGUCGGAAUCGCUAGUAAUCGUAGAUCAGAAUGCUACGGUGAAUACGUUCCCGGGCCUUGUACACACCGCCCGUCACACCAUGGGAGUGGGUUGCAAAAGAAGUAGGUAGCUUAACCUUCGGGAGGGCGC
rnacentral:rRNA from 1 species